UACGGAGGGUGCAAGCGUUAUCCGGAAUCAUUGGGUUUAAAGGGUCCGCAGGCGGACGUAUAAGUCAGUGGUGAAAGCCUACAGCUUAACUGUAGAACUGCCAUUGAUACUGUACGUCUUGAAUUCGGUCGAAGUGGGCGGAAUGUGUCAUGUAGCGGUGAAAUGCAUAGAUAUGACACAGAACACCGAUAGCGAAGGCAGCUUACUAAGGUGUCAAUGACGCUGAGGCACGAAAGCGUGGGGAUCAAACAGG
rnacentral:rRNA from 1 species